GACGAACGCUGGCGGCGUGCUUAACACAUGCAAGUCGAACGGCAAGGCCCUGCUUUUGUGGGGUGCUCGAGUGGCGAACGGGUGAGUAACACGUGAGUAACCUGCCCUUGACUUUGGUAUAACUUCAGGAAACUGGGGCUAAUACCGGAUAGGAGCUCCUGCUGCAUGGUGGGGGUUGGAAUGUUUCGGCGGCUGGGGAUGGGCGCGCGGCUGAGUAGGUUGUUGGUGGGGUAGUGGCUUACCAAGGCUGCGACGGGUAGCCGGUGUGAGAGGGUGACCAGUAACACGGGCACUGAGACACGGGGCCGACUCCGACGGGAGGCAGCAGUAAGGAAUAUUGGUCAAUGGACGCAAGUCUGAACCAGCCAUGCCGCGUGAAGGAUGAAGGUCCUCUGGAUUGUAAACUUCUUUUGAAUGGGACGAAACCUCUUUUUCUUGAGAGACUGACGGUACCAGUAGAAUAAGCACCGGCUAACUCCGUG
rnacentral:rRNA from 1 species